UGAAAAAGCGCACUCAAGUAAAUAAAAGCAGAGACUAAAACUCGUACCUUUUGCAUCAUGAUCUAGCCAGUACCCCCAAGCAAAGAGCCCUCUAGUUUGAAACCCCGAAACCGGACGAGCUACUCCGGGACAGCCUAUUAUAGGGCCAACCCGUCUCUGUGGCAAAAGAGUGGGAAGAUCCCCGAGUAGAGGUGAAAGACCUACCGAGUCAGGUUAUAGCUGGUUGCUCAAGAAAUGAAUAGAAGUUCAGCCCCAUAAUACCCUUAACCAAAAUAGUCCUACUUAAAUUAGGCAUGAGGAUAACCAUGGGAGUUAGUCAAAGGAGGUACAGCUCCCUUAACCAAGGACACAACCUUCACAGGAGGCUAAGAAAUACAAUCAAUUAAAGGCCACAGGUUUCGGUGGGCCUAAAAGCAGCCAUCCGCAUAGAAAGCGUUAAAGCUCAAACCACAAUUUAAGCCUAUUAUAACAUUAAAUCACCAACAACGCCCCUAAUUUAUACCGAGCCCUUCUAUGCCCCCAUAGAAGAGACCCUGCUAGAACGAGUAAUAAGAAGAACGAACUUCUCCCUGCACAUGUGUAAGUCGAAUCGGACCCACCAUCGACAAUUAACGAACCCAACAAAAGAGGAAAAUGCAUAACUGCCCAAUAAAGCCAAGAAAACCACGCAAAACCCAAUCGUUACCCCCACACAGGAGUGCUUAGUUAAAGGGAAAGACUUAAAGAAUAAAAAGGAACUCGGCAAACCCAAACCCCGCCUGUUUACCAAAAACAUCGCCUCCUGCCCACAACAAUAUAGGAGGUCCCGCCUGCCCUGUGACCAAAAGUUUAACGGCCGCGGUAUUUUAACCGUGCAAAGGUAGCGCAAUCAAUUGUCUUUUAAAUGGAGACCUGUAUGAAUGGCAUAACGAGGGUUUAACUGUCUCUUUUUUCCAGUCAAUGAAACUGAUCUGCCCGUGCAGAAGCGGGCAUAUUAACACAAGACGAGAAGACCCUAUGGAGCUUUAGACGCCCACCAACUAUGAAAAGAGACCAGAUUAAUGGAAGCCCAAACAACAUAGCCCUGGCACAAACGUCUUCGGUUGGGGCGACCACGGGGGAAAAUAAAGCCCCCAAGAGGACAGGGGAACACCCUAGAACCAAGAGUUACAGCUCUAAGUCACAAAACAUUUGACCGAUUAAUGAUCCGGCCCACGCCGAUCAACGAACCAAGUUACCCUAGGGAUAACAGCGCAAUCCCCUCCCAGAGUCCAUAUCGACGAGGGGGUUUACGACCUCGAUGUUGGAUCAGGACAUCCUAAUGGUGCAGCCGCUAUUAA
rnacentral:rRNA from 1 species